rnacentral:rRNA from 1 species
GAUGAACGCUGGCGGCGUGCCUAAUACAUGCAAGUCGAGCGAACAGACGAGGAGCUUGCUCCUCUGACGUUAGCGGCGGACGGGUGAGUAACACGUGGAUAACCUACCUAUAAGACUGGGAUAACUUCGGGAAACCGGAGCUAAUACCGGAUAAUAUAUUGAACCGCAUGGUUCAAUAGUGAAAGACGGUUUUGCUGUCACUUAUAGAUGGAUCCGCGCCGCAUUAGCUAGUUGGUAAGGUAACGGCUUACCAAGGCAACGAUGCGUAGCCGACCUGAGAGGGUGAUCGGCCACGCUGGAACUGAGACACGGUCCAGACUCCUACGGGAGGCAGAAGUAGGGAAUCUUCCGCAAUGGGCGAAAGCCUGACGGAGCAACGCCGCGUGAGUGAUGAAGGUCUUCGGAUCGUAAAACUCUGUUAGUAGGGAAGAACAAAUGUGUAAGUAACUAUGCACGUCUUGACGGUACCUAAUCAGAAAGCCACGGCUAACUACGUG